CCCUUAGAUGUUCUGGGCCGCACGCGUGCUACACUGAGUGGAUCAGCGGGUCAGGUUGCGCGAAAGUGUUUCCUAAUCUUGAAAUCCGCUCGUGAUGGGGAUUGACGGUUGCAAUUUUCCGUCAUGAACGAGGAAUACCUUGUAAGCGCGGGUCAUCAUCCCGCGCUGAAUACGUCCCUGCCCUUUGUACACACCACCCGUCGCUCCUACCGAUUGAGUGGUCCGGUGAGGCUUUGGGAUCUGAGCAAAGAGAGCGUUUCGCUCGUUUUGCCCGGAAAACUCAGUCGAACCUUAUCAUUUAGAGGAAGGAGAAGUCGUAACA
rnacentral:rRNA from 1 species